AGUGAACGCUGGCGGUAGGCCUAACACAUGCAAGUCGAACGGCAGCACAGUAAGAGCUUGCUCUUACGGGUGGCGAGUGGCGGACGGGUGAGGAAUACAUCGGAAUCUACUUUUUCGUGGGGGAUAACGUAGGGAAACUUACGUUAAUACCGCAUACGACCUACGGGUGAAAGCAGGGGAUCUUCGGACCUUGCGCGAUUGAAUGAGCCGAUGUCGGAUUAGCUAGUUGGCGGGGUAAAGGCCCACCAAGGCGACGAUCCGUAGCUGGUCUGAGAGGAUGAUCAGCAACACUGGAACUGAGACACGGUCCAGACUCCUACGGGAGGCAGCAGUGGGGAAUAUUGGACAAUGGGCGAAAGCCUGAUCCAGCCAUACCGCGUGGGUGAAGAAGGCCUUCGGGUUGUAAAGCCCUUUUGUUGGGAAAGAAAAGCAGCAGGUUAAUACCCCGCUGUUCUGACGGUACCCAAAGAAUAAGCACCGGCUAACUUCGUG
rnacentral:rRNA from 1 species